AAAUGGACAUGCUGAAAGAUUCUCGAAUUCCCGGCCAAUGCACCAAAUGAAAGACCCCCGAAGGGAGACCCUUACUCAGACACUCAAGUCCCGGGACAGCCGCGUACCCAAGAAGACACUGAGACCA
rnacentral:pre_miRNA from 7 species